UUGGCUAAGCAUUAUAAUAAUGUGAUCUCCCAGCAGAGAAUACCUUUCUAGGACAUAUCAAAAAGGUAAACUCUAGAGUUUACUUAAACUCAUAUCUUCUGUAUCAGUCAGGGUGAAGAUAAGGUUAAGAUAGGCAGGAAGCCACUACUACUGUUUGAGGGGAAGGGGAGGAAGUGGUCAUUGGAACUUGAAGAGCUGUGGUUGUACAAGAUGCAGCGAUCUUUGGUAGAGAAAUGUUGCUGUGCAUUUACUGCUAACAAGGAGGUAUCUGGUCAAGUAAGUGUACCUUCUUCUGGUCUUCUGUUGCUGAUGCCUCCCAUUGGAUGAACCCGACUGGAAGUCAGAGGGCAAGAAAACCUGUUGAUGUAGUCCAUAGGACCCCAGAACAUUGAGUAGAAGGGAAAGGGUAGAGAAUAGGUUUGAAGGUGGCCUUAUACCAAACUUCAUUUUAAAAGUGAAAGCACUCAGAACCUGUAUUAGUCAUAGUUCUCUAAAGAAAUAGAGCCAAUAGAAUAUAGAUAGAGAGAGAGCGAGAUAGAUAAACAGAUAGAUAGACAGAGAUAUAGAUAUAUCAGAAGGGAUUUACUUCGGGAAUUGGUUCACUUGAUUAUGGAGGCUGAGAAGUCCCACAAUAUCCUGUCUGCAAGCUGAAGAACAAGGGAAGAUGGUAGCAUGGCUCAGUCCAAAUCCAAGGGCCUGAGGACCAGGGGAGCCAACGGUGUAACUCUCAGUCCUAAGCUGACAGCUUGAAAAUUGGGGAGUAUCUGGUGCAAGUCCUGGAGUCCAAAGGCCCGGGAGUUCUGAUGUCCAAGGGCAGGAGAAGAUGGGUGUCCCAGUUCCAGAAGAGAGAGUGAGCAAAUUUGCCUUUCUUCUGCCUUUUUGUUCUGUCAGGCCCUCAGUCAACUGGAUGGUAUGGGCCUGCACUGGGUGAGGAGGGAUCUUCCUAGUCCAGUUAUUCAAAUGCCAGUCUCUUCUGGAACACCCUCACAGACAUAUCUAGAAACAAUGCUUCAUCAGAAGUUAUCUGCAUGUCCCUGAAUCCAGUCAAAUUGACACCUGAAAUUAACCAUCCUAGACACAAAGAAUUAAAUGACUUGUUGCAUGUCAUUGAUAGAUAUUAGAUUCUCACUGUAUUUAUGACCUAAUAAUUG
rnacentral:lncRNA from 1 species